UACGAAGGGGGCGAGCGUUGUUCGGAUUUACUGGGCGUAAAGGGCGCGUAGGCGGCGCGGUAAGUCACUUGUGAAAUCUCUGAGCUUAACUCAGAACGGCCAAGUGAUACUGCAGUGCUAGAGUGUGGAAGGGGCAAUCGGAAUUCUUGGUGUAGCGGUGAAAUGCGUAGAGAUGCGGAGGAACACCGAUGGCGAAGGCAGCCCCCUGGGCUGACACUGACGCUCAGGCACGAAAGCGUGGGGAGCAAACAGG
rnacentral:rRNA from 1 species